rnacentral:rRNA from 1 species
CCGAUUGAGUGAUCCGGUGAAUUGUUCGGAGUGCUGGUCCCUCGUUGCUCUAGUCUCCGUGGGUCCAAGCGCAAAGUUGAAUAAACCUUAUCACUUAGAGGAAGGAGAAGUCGUAACAAGGUUUCCGUAGGUGAACCUGCGGAAGGAUCAUUC